rnacentral:tRNA from 1 species
GGGGUUGUGGCUCAGUGGUAGAGCGCUCACCUGGCAUGCGUGAGGCACUGGGUUCCACCCUCAGCACCA